rnacentral:rRNA from 1 species
AAGGAAUAUUGGACAAUGGAGGCAACUCUGAUCCAGCCAUGCCGCGUGAAGGAAUAAGGCCCUAUGGGUUGUAAACUUCUUUUAGACGGGACAAAACCCCUUUACGUGUAAAGGGUUGAUGGUACUGUCAGAAUAAGCAUCGGCUAACUUCGUGCCAGCAGCCGCGGUAAUACGAAGGAUUCAAGCGUUAUCCGGAAUUAUUGGGUUUAAAGGGUGCGUAGGCGGACUAAUAAGUCAGUGGUGAAAGCCUGCAGCUUAACUGCAGAAUUGCCAUUGAUACUGUUAGUCUUGAGUACAGUUGAGGUAGGCGGAAUGUGUCAUGUAGCGGUGAAAUGCUUAGAUAUGACACAGAACACCGAUUGCGAAGGCAGCUUGCUAAGCUGUAACUGACGCUGAGGCACGAAAGCGUGGGGAGCAAACA